rnacentral:rRNA from 1 species
UACGAAGGGGGCUAGCGUUGUUCGGAAUUACUGGGCGUAAAGGGCGCGUAGGCGGUUUGACCAGUCAGGUGUGAAAUUCCCGGGCUUAACCUGGGGGCUGCACUUGAUACUGUCAGGCUUGAAUUCGGGAGAGGAUAGCGGAAUUCCCAGUGUAGAGGUGAAAUUCGUAGAUAUUGGGAAGAACACCGGUGGCGAAGGCGGCUAUCUGGACCGACAUUGACGCUGAGGCGCGAAAGCCAGGGGAGCAAACGGG